CCUACGGGUGGCAGCAGUAGGGAAUAUUGGUCAAUGGGCGAGAGCCUGAACCAGCCACGCCGCGUGCAGGAAGAAGGCGUUCUGCGUUGUAAACUGCUUUUAUAGGGGAAGAAAAAGAGGAUGCGUCCUCAACUGACGGUACCCUAUGAAUAAGCACCGGCUAACUCCGUGCCAGCAGCCGCGGUAAUACGGAGGGUGCAAGCGUUGUCCGGAUUUAUUGGGUUUAAAGGGUGCGUAGGCGGGUUAGUAAGUCAGUGGUGAAAGCCGGCAGCUCAACUGUCGAACUGCCAUUGAUACUGUUAACCUUGAGUAUAGUUGAGGUAGGCGGAAUGGAAGGUGUAGCGGUGAAAUGCAUAGAUAUCUUCCAGAACACCGAUAGCGUAGGCAGCUUACUAAGCUAUAACUGACGCUGAGGCACGAAAGCGUGGGGAGCGAACAGG
rnacentral:rRNA from 1 species